GGACGUUUUGUUGUUGCCGCUGUUGUUUAGAAGCUACUAUCUCGACUGGUCGAUACGAGCAGUGAAAACAAGAUGAUCUUUCUACACGGACUGGCUUUGGCCGUAUAUGAAUUUCAGAGAUACCUCAAAUACCGCGAUGAUCAAAGAGUAGAGAUGCCGAAGCGGGAGGCAGAUCGCCAAGCCGCCGAAGCGUUCGCCGCAC